AGCAGACAGCGACAGAGAGGGGCAGAGAAGCAAGUAAUAAAGCCGUAUUUUACAUUUCAAACUCAGGAUGCGCGGCGGGGAGCAGUUGUAGGGACAGGAUCGAGGAGUGGACAGUCUGUUACAGGUCCGAAGCGCACUUUUCAACACCCCCGUCAUCCGACAAGAAUAUGAUCCGGUCAAAUCGUAUGGACAUGCCUCAUUAUUCAAUGAACACUAUCUCUCACAACGCAUCGUUUACGCGCAGGAGUUAGCCGGCGCUUCGCCAAAUAUAAAAGGCUCUUGUCGUCCCACCUUCUGUGGAGCUGUCGGCGCUCUUCCUGACAUCCGGCAUUCAUUGGAGCGGUGGCAGUCACACAGGGCUCCCUGAUCAGUGCCGACCAGGAGCGGAGCUGAAGCUUAACGGGGCUAAGCACGCUGUCCAAGAAAC
rnacentral:lncRNA from 1 species